UACGGGAGGGUGCAAGCGUUAUCCGGAUUCACUGGGUUUAAAGGGUGCGUAGGUGGGCAGGUAAGUCAGUGGUGAAAUCUCCGGGCUUAACUCGGAAACUGCCAUUGAUACUAUCUUUCUUGAAUACCGUGGAGGUCAGCGGAAUAUGUCAUGUAGCGGUGAAAUGCUUAGAUAUGACAUAGAACACCAAUUGCGAAGGCAGCUGGCUACACGAAUAUUGACACUGAUGCACGAAAGCGUGGGGAUCAAACAGG
rnacentral:rRNA from 1 species